rnacentral:ncRNA from 2 species
AUAGAAUUAAAAUAAAUUAAUAUUUGCUGUUCUGUAAGGAAUAUGGUUUUAAGCCAUAGCAGCCCCCGCUACUGUAAUCGUGGACAAAGAGCAAUAGUCACUGGAAUUUAUCUGGGAAGACGCUUUGAGGUUGAAACGAGAGCCAGGAUACUUAUUAAACAGUAUAUUCAGAC